rnacentral:rRNA from 1 species
UAGGGGGCAAGCGUUAUCCGGAUUUACUGGGUGUAAAGGGAGCGUAGACGGCCAUGCAAGUCUGAAGUGAAAGCCCGGGGCUUAACCGCGGGACUGCUUUGGAAACUGUGUGGCUAGAGUGCUGGAGAGGUAAGUGGAAUUCCUAGUGUAGCGGUGAAAUGCGUAGAUAUUAGGAGGAACACCAGUGGCGAAGGCGGCUUACUGGACAGUAACUGACGUUGAGGCUCGAAAGCGUGGGGAGCAAA